CCCCUGGCCGCAACGGGGUCAUGUUGCGGCACCUCCCUGUUGGACUUGGCCCGGACCUUUGGUCCGGGCUUUUUU
rnacentral:ncRNA from 1 species